AGACAGAGGACUAUAUAGAUGUUAGGACAACAGGACCAGACCAGACAGAGGACUAUAUAGAUGUUAGGACAACAGGACCAGACAGAGGACUAUAUAGAUGUUAGGACAACAGGACCAGACAGAGGACUAUAUAGAUGUUAGGACAACAGGACCAGACCAGACAGAGGACUAUAUAGAUGUUAGGACAACAGGACCAGACCAGACAGAGGACUAUAUAGAUGUUAGGACAACAGGACCAGGCAGAGGACUAUAUAGAUGUUAGGACAACAGGACCAGGCAGAGGACUAUAUAGAUGUUAGGACAACAGGACCAGACCAGACAGAGGACUAUAUAGAUGUUAGGACAACAGGACCAGACCAGACAGAGGACUAUAUAGAUGUUAGGACAACAGGACCAGACCAGGCAGAGGACUAUAUAGAUGUUAGGACAACAGGACCAGACAGAGGACUAUAUAGAUGUUAGGACAACAGGACCAGACCAGACAGAGGACUAUAUAGAUGUUAG
rnacentral:lncRNA from 1 species